ACGAAUGUGAUCUGACCAAUGAUUUCAGUCUCAGAUUAUUGUUACAUUGUGUGUGCACAUGCAUGCACAGGAGCCUUUAUCAUGUGCUGCUGGGCACUGUGUAUCCUCAACUGUGAUAAGUGAUGUUAAGAGUCAAUUCAUAUCUGCAAAUAAUUGAGGCCAAAUUUUAUUAUUUUCCUUUCAGCAUCCAGUGUCUGAGUGAGUUUGCUCUUGUGCUGCCACUCUGUAUCUCAGUUCAUGUCUCUUGUAGUGAAUGGGAAACAGCCAAAGUUCUUUAAUUGUUAGUGCCUGUAGGAAUCACGUGCAAGUGAAAAUGUAACACACUGCAACAGAAAGGAUUCUGUGCUGUUCUUCAGAGACAAGACAAAACAUUACCCUGCUCUGUCGUGUGAUGAUGCACCAUUAACAGUACUCUUGGUUACUCUAUAGUAGGAAGGAGGAAAGGAAAAGGAGUUUUAUUUUUUUGUCAUGCAGUGCACAAUAUGUAAACUGCCAAAUUCAAUUUAUCGAACAAUCAACACUGUUCAAUUCUACUUGAAAAUAAAACGAGCAGUUCUACAAA